UAAGCUACAUAUAAAUCAAAGAUCAUAAGUGAGAUACAACUUUUUUAAAAGACAUUCAACAUUAUUACUAUAAAAACGUAUAUUACUGAUGGGUUUUUACCGAUGGUUUGGAAUUCAUUGAUAAUGGUGGAUUAUCGAUGAAUUUAUUGGCGAAAGAUUGUUUUUUAUUGAUGGUGACAUAAAUUAUCGAUGGGUCUUGGCCGACGGUAAUGUCCGCGAUGCUUUAUGUUUGAAAUUUGGGUAUUGUUUUACCAAAUUCAAUUUUAGAAAUUCCUCUCCUCCCUUCCCUGUUCUUUCUUCAUCCCCCUUCUCUUUUGUGAGUGCGAGUUCGGUGGCCAAGCCAGUUUGAAGAGCGUGCUGUUGCGGACGCUGACGGCGGUUCAUUGGUGGCUGGCUCACUUCCCUUCCAUGUUCUCUCUUCGUUCCCUAAUUAAGGUUCUCUUGGAUAAAGAAUGCCUGUUGAAGAUAGUUGGAGUAAGUUGCAUGAGAUAUAGGUAAAAGGGUAAAUAUUGGUAUAUUAUAUUCUGUCCAGAUUUAAGAAAACAUAUUGCUACAAUGUAAAUUUCUAAAAUUUUGUAGUUUUAAUAUGAAAACUAGAUGUUUAAUAAACUUCUGUG
rnacentral:lncRNA from 1 species